ensembl:lncRNA
GUGUGAACCCUCGUGACUACAAAUGUCAGGGAACAGCGCUGGCAGCCCAGUGAUUUUCUGGGGUUGCCGUCUCCGAACUGUAGGCACUGCAAUGCAAUCCCUAUGUGUUUCGGGAGGGCUGGCACUAACAUGCUUUCAUCAUCAUACGUAAAUUUAACUUGUGCAGCAGUUGGUAGGAACAAACAUACUUUGAGCUGAAGUCUUACUAGACAUACAAUAAUUAUCAUAUUUGUAUUUAAUCCCUUAAUUGCCGCCCUUCACCAGGCUCCCGACAGGAGUGGAAACGUGAGAUGUCUGCAAAAGGUCAGACCAAGGCAAAAGGCCGUAACUUCCACAUGAUCAAUAUUUGGUUGCUGAUCACCAUUUACAAAAUCGUUAAAGUAACACCUGUAUAAAAUCUAGUGAUCUCUCAUAUAGGCUAUUGCAUGCGACUGUAUUAAUUGUUAUUGUUUAUUUUAUUUUAUUAAAUUUUUUUACCGUAACAAGCAGACUAGUUAAACGUGAGUGGAUUCCGUGGAUACCAAUUUAUUUGCUAUGCACAGUAAUGUAAAAUAAUGUUAGACAUAACAUAAUUGCUUUUAUAUUGACUUGUAUGAGAUAGCCUAACCUAAAAGAACGACUUUCUGGAUUACGCCAGCAAACAGGAAUAAUGCUCAGAAUGCUUGGAUUAAACAUCUCUGAUGACGUUCAUCGCCAUGAAUUGAUUUUAUCGGGUUACAAGAAAAGGUAGGAUAUGGAUUUAAUUGCGAACUGAUAGUAGGCUACUGAUUUUAUGAUUGAUCAUGCUAGCUAUGGCAUUCGAGUCCACACGCAUUCCAUAGAAGUGACAGCCUGGUGAAUAAUCUGCAUUACAAAGAGGAAAAGAAAAAAAAAACUUUAAAGGUUUAUCACGAUUACGUAUUGCUGCGAAGGUAUCUAGUCUUUACAGUGCUUUGUUAUAUGGAGCUGUUUGGUAGAUCGCAAUCUAUUUCAUUUGUUUGUCUACACCAUAAUUAAAAUGCGGCAGAUUUUAAUGGACAGUACAAAAAAUGUAACUUCAUAUUGACGCGUGGCUAAACAAAGUCAGAAGGCCGUAACUCAAUUUGAGUGUUCCAAACAAAGUGAAAGAGUGGUAAGUGUUGUUAUACGGUGUUCUGCCUUGGUUUCUCCGG